CCAGGAAUUUUCUCAUCCUCUGCUCUCUGGCAGCUGUGCUAGUACAAGCUGACUUUGAUACUAAUAGCAAUCAUGCUGCCCAAGCCAUGUCCACAGAUAAGGACUCAACCUCGGAUGAAGCACCAACAGAGAUCAUGAACUCCAUCUCCUCGUACCAGUCUAACCGUGAGCACAGUAUAGAGGGGAGGG